AAGGGAAAGCGAUAUUGGUGAGGUUCAAUCCGAAGACGGAUCUUACUGAAGUAGAGUUUUAAGAUACGAUCUCAGAUUGAGCCGCGCCAAUAUCACUUUCUUUUUC
rfam:Beta vulgaris subsp. vulgaris Bvchr8.sca018.con0090.1, whole genome shotgun sequence.